rnacentral:rRNA from 1 species
AAAGGGUGCGUAGGUGGCGAUGUAAGUCUGGUGUGAAAUUUCGGAGCUCAACUCCGAAACUGCAUUGGAUACUGCGUUGCUAGAGGAUUGUAGAGGAGAGUGGAAUUCACGGUGUAGCAGUGAAAUGCGUAGAUAUCGUGAGGAAGACCAGUUGCGAAGGCGACUCUCUGGGCAAUUCCUGACACUGAGGCACGAAGGCCAGGGGAGCAAACGGGAUUAGAUACCCUAGU